rnacentral:rRNA from 1 species
UACGGAGGGGGCGAGCGUUAUUCGGAAUUAUUGGGCGUAAAGGGCGCGUAGGCGGCCUGAUAAGCCAAAGGUGAAAUCCCUCGGCUCAACUGAGGAAUUGCCUUUGAAACUGUCAGGCUUGAGGCCGGGAGGGGGUGGCGGAAUUCCCAGUGUAGCGGUGAAAUGCGUAGAUAUUGGGAGGAACACCAGUGGCGAAGGCGGCCACCUGGACCGGUUCUGACGCUGAUGCGCGAAAGCGUGGGGAGCAAACAGG